rnacentral:rRNA from 1 species
UACGUAGGGUGCAAGCGUUGUCCGGAUUUAUUGGGCGUAAAGAGCUCGUAGGCGGCUUAGAAAGUCAGGUGUGAAAACUCUGGGCUCAACCCAGAGACGCCACUUGAUACUUCUAUGGCUUGAGUUCGGUAGGGGACCAUGGAAUUCCUGUGUAGGCGGUGAAAUGACGCAGAUAUCAGGAGGAACACCGAUGGCGAAGGCAGUGGUCUGGGCCGAUACUGACGCUGAGGAGCGAAAGCGUGGGGAGCGAACAGG